rnacentral:rRNA from 1 species
UACGUAGGGUGCAAGCGUUAAUCGGAAUUACUGGGCGUAAAGCGUGCGCAGGCGGUUUUGUAAGUCUGUCGUGAAAUCCCCGGGCUCAACCUGGGAAUUGCGAUGGAGACUGCAAGGCUAGAAUCUGGCAGAGGGGGGUAGAAUUCCACGUGUGAGACAGUGAAAUGCGUAGAGAUGUGGAGGAACACCGAUGGCGAAGGCAGGCCCCCUGGGUCCAAGAUUGACGCUCAUGCACGAAAGCGUGGGGAGCAACAGGAUAGAAACCCUGGUGAGCAUCCAGGAUCCAAGUA